rnacentral:rRNA from 1 species
GUCUAUGGCCAUGCCACCCUGAACAAGCCUGAUGUCUGACCUUGGAAGCUAAGCAGGGUCAGGCCUGGUUAGUACUUGGAUGGGAGACCACCUAGGAUGACCAGGUGCUGUAGGCA